rnacentral:rRNA from 1 species
UUAGUAACGGCGAGCGAACAGGGAAGAGCCCAGCGCCGAAAUCCGCGUCCCCACGGGGCGUCGGGUUAUGUGGCGUUUGGGAGGACCGUAUUCCGGCGGUCGGUGGCGGUGCAAGUCCCCCUGACUGGGGCUCUCGCCCCGAGCGGGGGCAAGGCCCAUAGCUGCCGCACGCCGCCGUCGGAUUUCGCCUCCCGGGAGUCGGGUUGCUUGGGAGUGCAGCCCUAAGUGGGUGGUAAACUCCACCUCAGGCUAAAUACGGCCGCGAGACCGAUAGCAAACAAGUNCCGUGAGGGAAAGUUGAAAAGAACUUUGAAGAGAGAGUUCAAGAGUACGUGAAACCGCUCAGAGGCAAACGGGUGGGCCCUCGAAGGCAAGAGGGCGGGAGGAUUCAGUCGAGCGGUGUWCCGGAGGCUGCGGUCGGCACGGACUCCUUUCAGGGCCGUCCGCACGUAGUUGUAGCUCCGGAUGGCUCGGCGCAUUUCCCCCCCGCCGCAAAAUGACGCUGCGACCGGUUGGACGCUCUCGGCCAUGAGGGCGGGGGACGGCAGGUGGCCGGCCGCAGGUUCGUCCUGCGGCCGGUGUUACAGCCGGCCCGCCACGGGCGCGUUCGUCACCAACCGAGGACACCGGGCCCUGUGUGGGCCRUUKCGCAUCCUCCAUCUAUAGGAGCGGGUCGCCCGGCAGGUGGUUUGUCGUCUCGACCGUCUUCACCCGAGUGUGUGCGGUCGGCGACNUCCUCCGUUGGCUCGGUGCGGUUCCCGCGCAGGAUGCCGGA